GAUCAUGGCUCAGAUUGAACGCUGGCGGCAUGCCUUACACAUGCAAGUCGAACGGCAGCAUGGAGAGCUUGCUCUCUGAUGGCGAGUGGCGAACGGGUGAGUAAUACAUCGGAACGUGUCCGAUUGUGGGGGACAACCGUCCGAAAGGAUGGCUAAUACCGCAUGAGACCUGAGGGUGAAAGCCGGGGACCGCGAGGCCCGGCGCAGACGGAGCGGCCGAUG
rnacentral:rRNA from 1 species